UAGGGAAUCUUCCGCAAUGGGCGAAAGCCUGACGGAGCAACGCCGCGUGAGUGAUGAAGGUCUUCGGAUCGUAAAACUCUGUUAUUAGGGAAGAACAAAUGUGUAAGUAACUAUGCACAUCUUGACGGUACCUAAUCAGAAAGCCACGGCUAACUACGUGCCAGCAGCCGCGGUAAUACGUAGGUGGCAAGCGUUAUCCGGAAUUAUUGGGCGUAAAGCGCGCGUAGGCGGUCAAUUAAGUCUGAUGUGAAAGCCCCCGGCUCAACCGGGGAGGGUCAUUGGAAACUGGUUGACUUGAGUGCAGAAGAGGAGAGUGGAAUUCCAUGUGUAGCGGUGAAAUGCGUAGAUAUAGGGAGGAACACCGGUGGCGAAAGCGGCUCUCUGGUCUGUAACUGACGCUGAGGCUCGAAAGCGUGGGGAGCGAACAGG
rnacentral:rRNA from 1 species